UGACUGUAGUAGUCAGGCAGGGCAAAGAAUAGAAAAGAGAUUUGACGAGAGGAGGAUAUUGUACUUGGCGGCUGGAGAGAAGGUGAAGUUGGAGAAAUAAAUUCAAGCUGAAAAAUGCAGAAUAAUGUAAGGGAAAAGUUAAAACUACUAAUGAUUCCACCCACCAGACAUAAAUAUUGAUGAUACACUGGGGCAUUUUCUUUUUUGUUGUUCCCGUGACUAUAUCUAUGUUGACAAAAAUAAUCCAUAACCAAUCUAUAAAUGAAAAUUUGGGUGAGUUUAUUCCAAACUAAAACUGAGGACCAUGGCCCGCGGCCUUUCUUCCUGAAGGAAGAAUGGGCACCAAAGAAGUGAGGUAUACAGAGUGGUUAUAUACCCCCAACAGGAUGUUUUACACAUGAUUGAAAUGUCCCUCCCACAAUAGUCACAAGAUUGCCCUGUUGGCACAGCGCUUGAUGGACACAGCUAUCUCGGAGGGCAUAGCAGGAGGCAAGUCUAUUGUCUUGAGCUGGGUGGUCACAGGUGAGCGCAGCAAUCAGUUUCUAGCCUAAGGAAAGAUGCUUAAUCCUUAAAGAAAUGCCAACGUUGGGAGGGGGAGGGAAGUUGCACCUUUAUCUCAAGGGCCUUUGUUCUUGCCAUAGGGAAUGUCUAAAGCAGGUAUACAAAGCGUGCUCAACAGCCUCAGUCAGGCCCUUUUGGAAAGACAAGGUCAGGCCGAAUUAGGUUUACACCAAAUGACUUCCUCAUAUACUCCAAUAUAUUCUAUUACUUGCCAUUUUUAUUUGUCACUAUGUAAUACUACACCCUAUAGCAGUGCACCUACACACACACACACACACACAGAUAUAUGUAUGUCUGUGUGUGAGUGUAUUUUUAAACCAAUUGCUAUCAUAUGGCGGGCUUUUGGUUUUUCCUUGGAUAAUGAACAUUUUCUGUUGCAUUUAAAUUUUAUUUGAAAGCCCAAUUUUCCAUCAAGUAGAUCGAUUUUAAUAAGACACAGUUCCCUCAUAUUGGACAGUUACACUAUUUCCAAUUUUCAGUAUUAUAAAUAAUAUCACCUCAAAUUUCUUUGUGUAUCUUUCAUCUGCAUCUCUGCCUAGUUCAUUAGGAUAAAUUCCUAAAGGUUUCCUUUUAUAAUUUUAAGUGUUAAAACUGUAACACAUGCUUUCAGUCUUACACAAGGGUGAAUGCUGAGUUGGAGAAUAGGAGUGUCUGUUCAGGAGAGCAUAUUUCCUCUAUUCUUACUAUUUUAUGUAACAUUUUUAUAUAACUAUCUAUUAGAUACAGAAAAGUACACGAAUCACAGGACUGGUGAAUUUUCACAAAUUAAACACACCAAUGUAACCAUUACCAGAUCAAGGUGAUGAUGCUGAUGACGACAAUGGUGAUAAGAAUGCAGUACAGUACUAGGCUACAUGCAGUGGGAGAAACAAGGUACACAGAAGAGAACUUCCUUUCACGUGCACGUGUAUACGUUAUUAGCUCUAUGGCUCUCAAGGAGGGUCUAGACAUCCUAAGGCUUUAGGAUGCUGGGUAGGGAAUUUUCAAGUGAGAACUGUUGCACAAGGGAAGCAAAGGCAUAGCAGGACCAAGUGCCAAGUGUGAGAGAGGCAAUACAGCGGUAAUAACAAGGAAGCUUGGGGGCAAUACUAAAAUGUGAAACGAGGGGAGACUUUUUGCUUAGUUUUACAGCUAUUACCUUAAAGGUUGGGGAUCAUUCUCUGAGUAUUUACUCUAUGCCUAGAACUGGGGUAGAUCCUAUGCAGGUAAGAAGAUUAGGAUAAUAGAGUCAGGUUAAUCUGGAAUUAAUCGAAUCUCACUUUCUCCACUUUCUAUCUGGGUGCUCUGGGACAAAACAUUAAAAUUUUCAAGUUUCUCAUUUGUAAAGUGGGAACAGCAAUGUGUACUUCACAGGAUGGUUGUCCGUGUAAAUGAGUUAAUCCAAUGUUAAAGCCCAUAGCAUAGUGCCUGACACAUAGUGAACCCCUAAUAAAUAAAUACUACUCCUCUUUUCCUCCCAAAUGAUACAGACUCUUUUCCUAGAAACUUAAUGUUAGGGUGAGAGAAAAGGCAAUGCAAUAAUUAAAGAGCACCUGUAGUUAAGAAUGAACUGAUGUGGUCAGAUAAUAAGAGAAACAGUGGUAUAGAGAAGGAAAAUGCAGGGUAUCCUUCCUCUGGUGUACUUCCCUACCUUUUGAUAAGAGAUGUUCACAUGCUAGCCCACACAGAGUACUCAAACUGAUUAAUUAACCACAGAUGUCAAGAUCUGUGAGACCACAUAAAGUUUUACACAUUAGAUAAAUUGCUCAGCUUUGGUCCAUUCAAGAGACAAAUAUUGGGUUCCCCUGGAUAUGAAAUAAAAAUGGAAAUUAUCUUGGUCUGGAUGCUUUGACAGCCUGCUCUGUAUCUUCCCCGGAUUCUCAAGAUAAAUUUUACUCUUAAUUUAUCAUUUUGCUCUAUAGCUUCCUCCAGAGUUGAUAUUAUAACAGUUUUCUACUAAAUUUCAAUACCAUUUACUAAAUAUUAGAUAGAAAUAAUAGUCUUAAGAAAAAGCUGGCUAUUCUAUGAUGCCCUCAUCUGUGUCAUUCCUAACCUGCUAAGGCUCCUGUGCAUUCCUUUCCUGUAGUGGUAAAGUUUGCAGGUGAAGCAAAGAAGCUUCAAAUGAGAUCUUGCUAUACAUCCAUUUUGGUCUAUAAAAACUCUAGAAGAAACCAAAAAGGAUCUGAGAUAAAAUCCAAGGAUACGAGUAAUGGGCAUUUAAGAAUGACAGCAUUUUCCUUCUAAAUAAUAAUGUAGAAGCCAAACUUUACAUAAUUUGACAGGACAUAAGGGUAAGAGUGACGAGCAAGGAAGUAGAAUUUUAGAAGAAGACAGGUUGGGAAAAAAAGGGAAGGAGGUGGGAGAUCAUGGAAAGAAGAAAGUAAGAAAACGUAUGAAUAAUCCCACAAGGAAAGCAAAUACAAAGCCCAGUUGGGUGAGUAGGAAUGAGUGUGUGAAAUAAAGAUGGGAUGAGAAUGUACAGGGUAGGAGCCAAAGACGGAGAUCUGGAAACAAUGGAGAGAAAGGAGAAAAGGGUAAUAGUAUUCAAUUUUGAAGGAAUGGAUGAGGAAAUGAUAGAAGGUCAAAUGAUCGAAAAGCGUGAAGAUAGGGAGCAAAGUACUCACUGGGUUAUGAUGACAAGAAAGAGAAAAAAAAUGAGGCUCUGUCUUUGACUCCUGAUCUGUGUCAAGCGAAGCUAUAAGCACAGACUUGUUAGGUUAUAAAGUGAGGUAAAGGAUUAUUAAGGGAGAGAGACUAAGGGCACCUAGUAUCUGUUCCUAUUACAGCUUUUCCAAGAUUUCUGCUUUAUCCAAGGAUUUCACUCCCUUCCCACCUUGUUCUGUAAUGUGACAGUAUUCUACACUCAUGUGCAGCAAGGUGCUUGUGGAAAAGAAUAUUGUGUAAGAAUAACAUAUACAAUCUGUAGAUUCCUGAUUCAUAGCACCUGAGGAAUUAAUUAAAACACAAAAAAUUAACAAAAGGAGAAAAUCUACAGACCUGUCCCAAAGUUCAUUCAUGGGGACCAUCUGUUUACUCAAAUGUAAAACACUUGACCAAAUUUUCAAGUGAUUUGUCCUAUCUUAUGUCCCGGAGGAAGACUGUUCUGUUUUUGUUCAACUGCAAAUAAUCAUUUAACAGGUAUUUAAUUUACUAUACCCCAGAUAUGUACUCUAGGCUCUGGGGAUCUACUCAGUGAACAACAGGAGGAUAAAAUUCAUCUCUUUCGUCUAACUUGUGUCUCUUUGCUUAUGCACUCAGUGUGGGGAGAAUGAGGGAAUUGUGCUGAUGGUGUGAAGAUGGAAGGAGUGUCACAGGGAUAGACUUAUUAAUCCUGUAUUAUAAUGAAGCCCUGACCUGACAAAAUUCUACAAAGUAGCUAAAACUUUGCUGUCACUAGGAGCCCAUGUUUGGUUUUGUAGCAUUCAGGGUGCAUGUGACCAGAGCUGUGCAAUGACUCAGAACAGCAGCAGGAGGGGAAAUAAGGAAGUGGCUCCAUCCAUGGGGGUAUGGGAAUAACAUUACAAGAGCCCUUGCUCAUCUAUUUUCAGCACGUCCUGCUUCUUCUAUGGGUACUUAGGCAAGGCAGGCUGGCUUGAGAUGACUACUUGCUUUAACUUUUGUCUUUAUUUAUAAAAUAUAGGUUGGAAAUGGAGGGGUGUGUGUGUGUGUGUAAUGCACAUCUCUCAACCCCUUUUGGUUUAUGAUGCUUACAUUGUUAACAAAGUUGUUUGUGGCUGCCCUUGAUGUUCAUUUAAAUGAGAUACAGUAUUUUUAAAACACUUAGCAUGACCCUGGCACAUAGGGAUGCUAAUUAUGUUGCCUGUGUAUAAAAGUACUAAAGGGGCUUCAUGGUGUGAGUUUUCACCACCUCUGUGUUCUCAGCUGGCCUCCUCCCUCCCAAGCCUCAGCUGAGGAGGGACCCAACUGUAAGAGAUUUGUUUUCUGUGACAUUUGCUAUUUGUUGCUGGCUCACUGUUUCAGUGGGGGAGGUGUUAUGCUGGAGUCUGUAGGGGCAGUAGACCAUGCACUUUUUGACUCUAUUACUCAUCUCUCUCAUGGAGAAUGUCACCCAGUGUCACUUCCCCCAUUUUUUUGGUGUAUUGAAGCUGCCUAAGUUCAUGUUGUCACUCAUGCGGCAAGUGGCAGACUUCAUAGCCUCAGAGAAAGUGGGGGAGGAGGUGUCUCGCCUUCUCUCCCCCUUUCUUUUCAGUGUUUCUGUGUUGGUGUGAGCCCUUUAGGCUGCUGUGUCCGUUGAGGAGUCCAGCAGACUUGUUUUGCCCUCCUGCUUUGUGGUGGGAAACCCGUUGCUUAUUUUAGCUAAUUUGAGAACAUUGCUGGGUUGCAGGGCUCAGAAGUUGAACUCUUUAACAGAAAUGUCUGUUGGUUUCAGUUUCUGCCUGUUACUCUGUGAAACCAAGAAUGGGGUAAAAUUUCUCAGUUUUGUUUUCUCGUUUCCAAGGCCUUUCUACCUUCCCCCCAACAUUUUAAUGCACGAGAAGCCUUUCUUUCCAAACAUAGAUUUGAGCUUAAAUUUAAACGAUGUUUUCCCCAUUGAUUGAGAGGAAUCUUGAAAACACCAUCCACUUCCUCUCUCUGUGCAGGGGCCUUAGUGCCAUAGAACCACUGCUCCCACAAGUCAGGUGGCUUUGGUGGUCAACUGUGUAUGAGGAGUGCUGGAUAAACCAGGUUGUACAGAUUUCUCUGUCACUCAGUUAACACGUGUGCAUUAUUGGGUCCUCCCAUAUGCCAGACACUGGAUGGACACUGCAGACGUGGGGCCUCUCGCGCCCACAGGAACACCAAUUUUUCUUUUACUGUGUAGCAUCUUUUGGGCCUGGGGUGCUGAAAAGCACACUUUGGGAAAGGCUGUCUAACUUGAAGAAGUUCUAAUCUAUUAUGUUAAAACCCCCAGUAAAAUGAUUCUCCGAUGAGUUUUCACUUUAUAUUCAUGGAGUAUUGCUGUCUAGCAGAUUUUACGUCUAAUUUAUAUAGCAUUCAGGAUAGGCCUGCUCAGCGAGGCAGCAUGAUCAAAUGCUCCCUUUAGGGAGCUACAUAGUCCCGACCUGCCACUCCGUGCAUACCUGUUUCCUCCUUGUGACCCACGUUUCCACUCGUCUUACUGGUGUCUGAGAACAAAUCUGAGAGGCAGAGCAGCCUGGGGCUCAGAGUGCCAGUGUUAGAAACACCUGGCCCAAAUUCUGGCUACCUCUAAUUUACUGACAGCUGUGCGUCCCUGAGCUGAUUACUUAUCUCCGUCAGCCUCAUUUUGGCCUCUUAGGGUUAUUUGCAAUGAUUAGAUGAGACAAAAUAUUUUAAAAUUUAGCACUAUGCUUAGCACAUAGGCAGUGUUCAAGAAACAGUAGUUGCAAUUAUUAGAGAGUGUCAUCUCCAUAAAGAGCAGCCCAAUGCCAGCCCGUUGCACCGCUCAUCAGCUCAUUUGGGACCUUGAUCUCUUGCAGAUUUUCUUUGUCCUUUUCCUCCUUGUCCUCCUCAACAUCACCAUUAUAAUUUACUGAGCAUUUACUGUGUCAUGAGUGGUGUGCAGUAAGAGAAUUUAUUUGCCUUGUGCCAUGUAAUCCCUACCUCGCUUCUAGUUUUGCUCAGUUGUUUUCUUCUCGUUGAAGCCUGUUUUAACCCUGUUAUUUAAAAAUACAAACUGCUCCCCGCCUCAACUUCCAAUCUUCCGCUGCUUUUACCCCCAGGACUUACCUUCUAAUAUACUGCAUAUUUAUUUAUUAUUCAUUUAUUUUUUGUUUAUGUCUUCCUUUGGAAUAUGAGUUCCAUAAGGGCAGGGAAGUUUUAUAAAUCUCUCUCUUUUCUUUAACUGAUGUGUUUAGAUGCAUCAGUUAAUACAGCACUUGGCGCAUAAUAGAUACACAAUAAAUAUUUGUUCAACCACUGUGUGAAUGGUUUUGAUUGAACAAAAAACUGUGUGACCAUCAGAACUGUUAUUUUACAGAUAAAGAGAACGAAUUCUGAUAAGUUAUGUAAAUUGACUCAGGAGAUAGCUAGUAGCUUUUGGAGUCUGGGUUUGCAUUAACCUGAAAGCUCAAUCUCUUGACCAUUUUUCUCUACUACUCUCAUCACCUAAGUACACUUGGGGAUUUUCAAGGGAUAUUUCCUAUAUGCUCACACAAAAAAAUCCCACUCUUGUUCAGCAACACAACUGGUGCCCUAGGGCCCUUAGGUGGCAGAGCUGGGUGGUCUGCGUCGAUGUGGAAGGGAAGGACUCAGUCUUCUUUCUGUUCCUCUCUUUCAGAAGCACUGAGAGAGAUGUCGUACGUGCCCUAAUGUUGCCCAGAGGGUUAGCUAGGUCUUCGGUGUGACUUGGAGCCGUGAGCGCACAGGCUAGACCAGUGUGAUCUCAGCAGCAGCCACCACGCUGUGCUCAUUCAUAUCUUCACUUUCCUGUGACAACUCAGGUUUAUAGUUCACCACUGGUGUGAGAAUCCCUAAACAGUAUGUUGUGCAGUUUCUGGAGAUCUGAGUAAUAAGUGUAAAUCUAUUUGUGUACAGAAAGAGCAAUAUUGUCACUAUUACGUGACUGCUCCCAGGAGAUGAUAAGCUGAAUAGAGCCUCUGGGUCAUAGUUUGGCUUUAGUUUUUCUGAGAGUUUAUAAGAGGCCCUUGGAGAAGCCAGUGGAUAAGAUCAUGAGUGAGAACCACAGGAGCUACCGCACAUGGGGCUUCUGGCAGGGCCGUGGACCAGGCUUUGGGCAUCUGAUGGAAAUGUGGCCAAGUGGAAUAGCUGCUUUGUCUUUUCUGCUUCUGUCCCACCACCCCCUGCAGCCCUCAGGAGUAGGGUAAAGCAGGGUGAUUCUUUGGGAUGAAAGACGUGUCCUCAGCUGGCCUAAGUUGAAGGGUAUAGAAGAGAGCAGAGGAACUUCAAUCAGCAGAAGGUCAAGACAAGCCAAGGACAGAAAAGAACCUGGACUUGGCUCACUAGCACAUUCUGUACUCAAGUUAAAAAGAUGGUUCAAUUGAGGCAAGAGUCUUUUAAUAAAGACGGUCUUCAUCAUAUCUGUCUCUUGCACCACGUUGCUUUAAUUAGACCAUUUGGCUAGGUUCCAACUUCCUGCCUGGAGUGUAAGGGUCUUUCUGCUAGAGUUCUCAAAGCAGAGUCGGGGAAGAUGGAAAGAGUUUGUUGAACCCAGCAUUCACCACGCACAGCUCCUCACUCCUGUGUUUUGGGUCAGGUACCUAUGCCCUUAACUGUACCUACUGUGCUCCAGAUCCAGAACCCCUGCCACCCUUUUCAGAGAACAAAUCUUCAGACUUCUGCCCAGGUAGGAAAAGGCAAAUAUGGAGAUGAUGAGGGAAUCUGGGGAUUCUAACUGCUCCUGAAAUAGGAUUCACUCAGCCUUCCUUAUUUCAGGCAGCCCUCUCACGCCAAGUCCUAGAGAUCUUGGGUCUUCUAGUUCCUGAGCCCUUUGAAAAAUCUGUGAUGUUAGUUGCUUUGGUUCUUCCCAGCUUUGUCUACUGUCAAUACGGGACUCAGCUUUCUCAGACCUGGUAAGUUAGCUGUCACUUGUCCAUCUCUUUCUACCUUCCAGAUUGUGUGGUUGGGGUCUCUUCUUCUGCUCUCCCAUUCAUAUGGACUUGUGUCUUUUGAAAGCUUUCUUUACUGUGGUUCUGGUUUAAGGAAAGAGUGAAAAUAGAUGUGUGUUAUAUCUGCCACCUUAACCUAGAACCUCCAAAAAUAUCAUUUCUUUCUUUUGUAUAGAGCUCAUCUGCUCUUCUUCAGGGAGACUCAUUUGUUGGUUACUAAGGGAAAAAAUUUAAUAAUGUUCAUAUUUAUUUAAAUUAGUUCAAUCUGUUAUUUAAUCAGUUCCUUUAGGUAAUAGUCUCUCUAGGGAAAAAAAGUCUGCAUUCUUUCUGAUUGUCCCCUUUCCUCCCAGAGAUGGUAUCCACACAUCUGGGGAAGGAAGUCUGAGGGGAAGAAUUUGUGUCUUGGGGUUGCAUGUUCUCUGGACUUCAGGUGAUGUUCCUGUUUACCUGGAUUCUGUUUGCCUUGCUAGCAUUUUCCUGUGAAGUUGGUGACUGGUAUCUUGCUGCCCCAUUUCUCUCCCAGAUUGCUCAGAACCUGGUAGUGUCCCUUCGAUUGGCUUUGCUUAAACCUGGCUCCCACUGGCUGCACGUGUGGGUCUCCACCACGACCUCUUGCUAAUCCACUGGCUCACAGACCCAACUCAGCCUCUGCCAUAAGGUCACUGGCCACUGCCAUUGUGGAAUUACUGGCAGUGACCACUGGCUGGUCUUCUGGAUCUGGACUUAGCCCCAUACCUCAUGGGAACGAAGGAUUGCUUUGAUAAACUGAACUUAAGAGACUCCCUCCACUCUGGUCUUCCUAAUUGAUGUGGUCAUAUGCCAGGCUGGUAUAGGAGGUAUUUAUUCUCCAUAGGCCUCAAUGGGGAGCGGGCAAUAAGCACCUCCUCCUGCCCUCAGUGUUACACUAAUGUACCUCUGCCUCUAGGGCCCCAAGCCUGGAACAGGGGCAAUCAAGACACUCAUGAUUAACAGUCUUGCUCUGCUGCCUCCCCCAACUUUCUCUGUUUUAUUAAAAAAUGAGGAAGGGGACAGAUCCUUCUUUUUCUUCUAGAGUCAUACAUUCCUUUUACCUUUGAACAGCAAGCCUCAGAGGGGGCUGGCCCAGGGCUCUAUCAUUUCCACACUACAGGUGAUCUCUGUAAGUGUUGGGUCUCUGAUGAGGAGGCAAAAAGGACUUGGAAAAAUUCUCUCUCAAGACAAUAGAAAUUGUCUUCUGCAGAAUUCUAUAUUGUAUAGUAGAAGCUGAUUGCUCAUUUUCCCUCUUUGUGUUUCUCUUUUAAAAAGAUCCUAGUAUUUCCUCAGGCAAGUGGAUUCCUUGGGCCGACCUAUUUAAAAAAGGCAAAAGAGAGAAGCAGAUAUUUUUCAGAGUAUUACUAACCAUAUUUGUGAUACACUUACAUUGAUGUAGAUUGAAAAGACUCAGAAAACCCAGGGUCAGCUAAGCAUUGAGUACCUGGAAAAUGUCCUGGAAUACGGGAUUCUGGUUACCUGAACAGGGUUUGGGGUGGAGGCUGACCACUUGAAUAUUAGCUGUGUGAAGUAGGGCCGUUUCUUAACAACAGUUCGUUUGUACGAUUGGGUUGCUAAGAUGAUUAAAUGAGAGCUUUGUAAAGCACUUACAAGAACUUCAUAAAUUGUUACCAUCACCAUUACUAAUACUACUCCUAAUAAUGUCACAUUCAGAAGGAGUCCAUUGCUUUGAUCUGAAACAUUUCAAACUUUAGAAUGUUCUAGUUUUGUUUAUUUAGGAUGCUCCCUUUCCAAAUGAUCUAGAGUUCAGUGGAAACAUCUUUGGACUGGCAGAUAAAAAGAUACAGGGUGGGGGCUGCCCUGGUGGCAUAGUGGUUAAGUCUGCAAGCUCCGUUUUGGCAGGCUGGGGUUCACAAGUUCGGAUCCUGGAUGCGGACCUACCCCGCUGGUCAAGCCAUGCUGUGGUGGCAUCCCACGUACAAAAUAGAGGAAGAUUGGCACAGAUGUUAGCUCAGUGACAAUCUUCCUCAAGUAAAGAGAUGAAAUUAGCAACAGAUGUUAGCUCAGGGCCAAUCUUCCUCACCAGAAAACAAAAAAGAUGCAGGGAGGAAGCCACCACACUAAGGACUAUUAGAAAUAAUUAACAACGUUAAUGAACAACUGAAUGGCCUGGCUGGAGACCCCAUCUUGGACUAAGGUUGCCAAAAUCUUGUCUACUUUGCUGUUUUAACUGUUUGACAUUUGUUUAAAGCCCCCGAGUUGGUGACAAUUUUGGUUAGGUGGGCUUAAAAUAAAAAGUGAAAGAAUUCCUGUAAACAUGAGAAAAAAAAUUUUUUAAAUUCUCAGUUAGUUCUAUGGGAUAAAUAAGAUAACUAGUUUGAACUCUUUAACUUUAAGCAUUUAGAAGGAAUUAAAAAUGCCAAAACCUUAAGGAAGAUUAUUGCUGGUUUAUGCGAUUUUGAAUGAUUUUUAAUGAUUUUUUUCCCCUGAAAUCUCCAAGUUUUCUUUACAUCUGUUACUUUUAUCAGAUAAAAAUGAUAAAGAGAAAAGCAAAAUGAUAAUAUAGAACUGAUUUUUAUAUCUUAAAAUAAUAAAGACUUUCCAACGACCACCUUGGAUUUGAUCCUCAGCAGGCAUGUUUCCUAGUCACUAUUCCAUUUGAGCUGACAUCGACUUUUAAACUAAAUUUGAAAUGGCUCAAUUCAUACAAAGUAUCAUGCUCACCUCGUGGCAAUAUGGUUGUUGCUAAAGAUCAGUUUAGGAACAAAGAUCUGUGCCAAUUGCUGCAUUUCAUUAAACGUGUUGGACUUAGAGAGUCUGAUAAGCUUGGGUUUGAGUGAAAACUUCAAGAUUGUGUAUAUGUUUUUUGUCGCAUGCCUUUUAUACAUGUAAUCAGUCAUAUAUGCACCAGAUAUCGUUAUGCAAGCUCAAAUAAAAAGACGUCUUGAAAAAUUAAAGUCACCUCUGCUCUCCUCAUCUCUAUGAUAAG
rnacentral:lncRNA from 1 species